rnacentral:rRNA from 1 species
AGAGAUGUGUGAUGACGCAUAUCAAUAAGCGGAGGAAAAGAAACUAACAAGGAUUCCCUUAGUAACGGCGAGUGAAGCGGGAAGAGCUCAAAUUUGAAAUCUUCAAGGUUCUACCUUGACGAAUUGUAGUUUAUAGAAGUGUUUUCUGUUAGUAGAGUGGCAAAAGUUCUUUGGAAUAGGACAUCAUAGAGGGUGAGAAUCCCGUAUUUGGUCAUUCUUUCUAGCUUUGUGAUACACUUUCAACGAGUCGGAUUGUUUGGGAAUGCAGUCCAAAGAUGGGUGGUAAAUUUCAUCUAAAGCUAAAUACUUGGCGAGAGACCGAUAGCGAACAAGUACCGUGAGGGAAAGAUGAAAAGAACUUUGAAAAGAGAGUUAAACACAGUACGUGAAAUUGUCAAAAGGGAAGCGUUUGACACCAGUGUUGUUUUUCCGAAAAUCAAUUACGAAUGUUUUGUUUUUGGAGAAGUUAUGACUUCAUCGGCUUGCUUCUCUCUUUACUGAAACUUUCUUAAUGCACUUUUCGGUUAACAAGUCAACAUCAAUUUCUUUUGUUGUAAAAGGGUAUGAGGAAGGUGGCUUUCUUUUCGGAGAAAGUGUUUAUAGCCUUGUACCUCUGCAAUCGGAGAGAUUGAGGUCUGCAGCGUAGAUCCUUCGGGGUUAGAUACAUUUGUGCUAAGUUAUAGCUUUUCAUAGACAACUUGUUGACUUAUGUUUAGUCUUGUAGCUUACUCGCUUAUGCUAUUUUACCUACGCUUAGGAUGUUGACGAUCAGCUGAGCGCG